CUCUUCAAGUGUGCGGCAGCUGCAUGGGUUGGCCUGAUGGUGAGUGGGCUUUGUGACUCCUCCCUUUAUUGUC